rnacentral:rRNA from 1 species
UGGGGAAUUUUGGACAAUGGGCGCAAGCCUGAUCCAGCAAUGCCGCGUGCAGGAUGAAGGCCUUCGGGUUGUAAACUGCUUUUGUACGGAGCGAAACGGCUCUACCUAAUACGUAGGGCUAAUGACGGUACCGUAAGAAUAAGCACCGGCUAACUACGUGCCAGCAGCCGCGGUAAUACGUAGGGUGCGAGCGUUAAUCGGAAUUACUGGGCGUAAAGCGUGCGCAGGCGGUCUUGUAAGACAGAUGUGAAAUCCCCGGGCUCAACCUGGGACCUGCAUUUGUGACUGCAAGGCUGGAGUGCGGCAGAGGGGGAUGGAAUUCCGCGUGUAGCAGUGAAAUGCGUAGAUAUGCGGAGGAACACCGAUGGCGAAGGCAAUCCCCUGGGCCUGCACUGACGCUCAUGCACGAAAGCGUGGGGAGCAAACAGGAUUAGAUACCCUUGUAGUCCCUGAGCGGGCUGGCAAGGCGCG